GUGCUCAAUUUGGCAGCACAUAUAUUAAAACUGGAACAAUACAGAGAAGAUUACCAUGGCCCCUGUGCAAGGAUGGCAUGCAAAUUCAUGAAGCAUUCCAUAUUUUU
ensembl:snRNA U6 U6 spliceosomal RNA